rnacentral:misc_RNA from 1 species
GAUGAAAGAACGUAGCAAAAUGCGAUAAGUAAUGUGAAUUGCAGAAUUCAGUGAAUCAUCGAAUCUUUGAACGCACAUUGCGCCCGCCAGUAUUCUGGCGGGCAUGCCUGUUCGAGCGUCAUUUCAACCCUCAAGCACAGCUUGGUGUUGGGACUCGCGUUAAUUCGCGUUCCCCAAAUUGAUUGGCGGUCACGUCGAGCUUCCAUAGCGUAGUAGUAAAACCCUCGUUACUGGUAAUCGUCGCGGCCACGCCGUUAAACCCCAACUUCUGAAUGUUGACCUCGGAUCAGGUAGGAAUACCCGCUGAACUUAAGCAUAUCAAUAAGCGGAGGA